rnacentral:rRNA from 1 species
UUGCCUGCACCUGCCGGCGACCGGCGCACGGGUGAGUAACACGUAUGGAACCUGCCCGCCACAGGGGGAUAACCCGGGGAAACCCGGCCUAAUACCCCAUGCCGCCCGGACCGGGCAUCCGGACCGGGCGAAAGGAGGAAUCCGGUGGCGGCUGGGCAUGCGGCGCAUUAGCUAGUUGGCGGGGUAACGGCCCACCAAGGCGACGAUGCGUAGGGGUUCUGAGAGGAAGGUCCCCCACACUGGUACUGAGACACGGACCAGACUCCUACGGGAGGCAGCAG